rnacentral:rRNA from 1 species
UACGAAGGGGGCUAGCGUUGCUCGGAAUCACUGGGCGUAAAGCGCACGUAGGCGGCUUCUUAAGUCAGGGGUGAAAUCCUGGAGCUCAACUCCAGAACUGCCUUUGAUACUGAGGAGCUUGAGUCCGGGAGAGGUGAGUGGAACUGCGAGUGUAGAGGUGAAAUUCGUAGAUAUUGGGAAGAACACCGGUGGCGAAGGCGGCUAUCUGGCCCGUAAUUGACGCUGAGGCGCGAAAGCGUGGGGAGCAAACAGG